AAAAAAAAAGNAAAGUACAAUAGGCCUUUCAACUCUAGGCCCUUAAAUUCUUUUGUGUGAGCUGGAUACAGAUGUUUCAGGAAUAUCUGGGCUUCUUACUCAAAUGUUUAUCAAAAGGGUUAAAUGCUAUAAUUUGAGCUAAAGAUUUAGUAAUUUCUUUGCUAAUUCAGACAAAAUUACAUGCUUAUAGGCUCAUUUGUUUGAGAUACUGGGCUGUGGGAGGCCGGCUUCGUUCUCUACCUACUAGGGCCUUUGCUUUUUGCUCUUGCUUGUGAUAAUGGGCCACUGACUGAGGAUAGCCGUCAGACUGUCACCUAGGUUAUUUAGAAACUCCCUGUUAUUAAUAGAUACUUGCUUAUAUAUACAAAAAUCAUUUUUCUUUCUGUGACAGCCUACCGUUGUUUCCUAGAUGUCACUGGUGAAAACCUGAAGAGUUACCAUGGAAUCUUCAAAAGGUGAAAAGUACUGAAAAACGGUCAAGGAGACCUGGAAUCCACAACAGUAUCUUAAGUUGGCCACUGAAGGGUGGUUGGGUUUUUGGUGGGUAGAAAUAUGUUCUGGGCAAAAGGAAUUUCAGAAGAAAAGGCAAAAGGGGAGGAGACCCCCCCACACACAACCUGCUGUUCCAUGAGCGUGUGUUAGUGCCCCAGGUGCCUUGAGGUCUGUGUAACAAAUUAUCACAACCUAGGUGGCUCAAAAAAAUUUAUUCUCUCACAGUCCUAUAGGCCAGAAGUCCAAAAUCUAGUGUUAGCACAGCCAUUUUCCCUCAGAAGGCUCUAGAAGAGAAUCCUUCUCUGCCUCUUCCUGGCUUCUGGUAGUUGUGGGCAACCCUUGGUGUUCUUGGCUUGUGGCUGCAUUACUCCAACUCUCUCUCUCUCUUUUUUUUUUUUUUAAGUAAGCUCUGUGCCCAAUGUGGGGCUCAAACUCAUGACCCUGAGUUCAAGAGCCUCACGCUCCACUGUCUGAGCCAGCCAGGUGCCCCUACUCUAACUUUUGCCUCUCCAUCAUUACAUGGUAUGUGUGGCUUCUCUUUCACCUGAACAUUAGUAUUUUGGAUUUAGGGCCCACCCUAGUCCAGCAUGACUGAUCUCAGCUCGAUUACAUCUGCAAAAAUUUUCCAAUAAGGUCACAUUUGUAAAUACGGGGGGUUAGGACUUGAACAUAUCUUUUUGGGAAGACACAGUUCUACCCACUACAAGCAUUAAAUUAUCUAUUCUGUUUGAUUAAAAUGGUGAAAUUGUGAGACAUCUGGCUGUCUGUCAGAUAACUGACUCAUUUAUUUAAUAAAUACUGUUGACUUCCUUAUGCACAGCACUGUUCCUUGCUGUGGAAGGCUGCAAGGACCUUGCCUUCGGAGCUUUUGCUCUGGUGGAGGAAAGUGAGAUACCGUCGGCAGACAACAAGGUAGUUAAAAUAAAUGAACAAUAAGGUCACCUGGGUGGCUCAGUCGCUUAAGCCUGCAACUCUUGAUCUCAGCUCAGGUUUUGAUCUCAGGGUCAUGAGUUCAAGCCCCAUGUUGGAGACUACUUAAAAAAAAAAAACAAAAAACGAAUGAUGAAAGAAGGAAGAAACAUGCCACGAGGAGAAGACAUUUAGCCAGCUCUACCUAGAUAAAUAGAGAUAUUGGUAGAGAGGAAGCAGAGGCAAGAAAGUCACUUCAGAAGCCAUUAGACCAGUGCAGAGGGGAGGUAGUGAGGGAUCACACUGGACAAUUUCCUUGAAAACCAAUUAAGCAAAUUAGUGCUUCUCUACAGAAUGAAAUAUUUAGAAACAGUUUAUGAAAACUAAAGAAUAAAAAAGUUAAUGUAACUAGGGCACCUGGGGCACCUGGCUGGCUCAGUCAGAAGAGCUUGUGACUCUUGAUCUCAGGGUCAUGAGUUCGAGGUUAGUAAAAAAAAAAAAAAAAGAAAUGUAGCUAAAUGCAGCAUGGUAUCCUGAGUUGGACUGGGGAACAGAAAAAGAAUAUUAGUGGCCAAAGUGUGUGAUCCAAUUAGGCUUGCUAGGACGUGGGAGGGGGUAAUGGAGAGUGACUUGGGUAUGGAAUUUCUCUUUGGGGUGAUUAAAAUGUUCUGGAACCAAAUAGUGGUGAUGGUUGUACAAACAUUGUGAAUGUAUUGAAUGUCACUAAGGGUAAAUUUUAUGUUAUGUGUUUUAUCACUAUUUUGAAAGGCCAUAAAAAGACACAUUAUCUUAAAAAUUGUGAAAUCU